ACAGCUAGAAGGUCAACCAUGAUAUAUAUGAAUUAGCACUCAUUCAGAUUGCAUAGCUGAUAAACAUGAGAUCGUACUUGACAUUGGAAUGGCUUCUCGCCUGUAUGAGUUCGCACAUGCUCGAUGAAGUCCUUCUUGGAGAAGAACUCUUUAGGGCAAGAGGAGCAGUGAUGUGGUUUGACUGACAAAUGGACUCGCUUGCGGUGAUCUAUUAAGGCCGAGUUGGAUUUAAAAGCCGCUCCACAUUCUGGACACAAAUAGCUUUUGAUCUUUUCAUGGACGGAGCUUUUGUGAAUCCGUAGGGCAGAGAGUCGUCCAAAAUCUUUCCCACAAGCCGCGCAAUGAUAGGGCCUCUCACCUGAAAUGGAAGAGCAAUUGCGCCUCUUUCUUUAAAAAAUAUGAUGGGUCUCCUCCCACACUCGAAGACGUGGCAGAAUCAUGUUGAGGAAGCUCUACUGGAAUGAGACGGGUGCUGGAUUCGUCGCCUUCAUCUGUGGUCACAAAUAUAUAGCUGCCCUCUUGUCCCGGGAUCUCCACCACCGAGUCCUCAGAUAUGAAGAUUGUGUUGUGUAAAAGUUCCGUUUCUGAAUUUUCCGCGGCGUUUUCUUCUCCAUGCUUGAUCCCUUCUUUGCUGCGCCCUACCUGAGACAAAGCUAAAAGUGACGAAGCCGCCGCUCCAGACAAGGCGGUUGUUGAAACCCGUCCAGUUUCGUUCGGCUUUGUCUCUUCUUCGGAGAGUUUUUGAAUGAAAACAGAUGAGUCCUCACGAGAUGCAGUGGAGGCUGAAAAAAAUAGCAUAAGACAAUCGUUUAUUUAUUAGAUUGACGUCCAAAAAUGGGCCUGUCUCACCAUCUCUAACGCUGUUGUCGGAUUGUUCAGCGACAAUAUAGUGUUCGUUAUCCGAUCCUUUGGUGACGUGCUGUAGUAUUACGGUAUUGCCGCUCUCAUCCGUGCAAUAAAGAACGGUGCCGUUGUCCUCGAGAGCUUCGACCAUCUUCAUCGUCGA